rnacentral:rRNA from 1 species
GGUUAAGCGACUAAGCGUACACGGUGGAUGCCCUGGCAGUCAGAGGCGAUGAAGGACGUGCUAAUCUGCGAUAAGCGUCGGUGAGGUGAUAUGAACCGUUAUAACCGGCGAUUUCCGAAUGGGGAAACCCAGUGUGUUUCGACACACUAUCAUUAACUGAAUCCAUAGGUUAAUGAGGCGAACCGGGGGAACUGAAACAUCUAAGUACCCCGAGGAAAAGAAAUCAACCGAGAUUCCCCCAGUAGCGGCGAGCGAACGGGGAGGAGCCCAGAGCCUGAAUCAGUGUGUGUGUUAGUGGAAGCGUCUGGAAAGGCGUGCGAUACAGGGUGACAGCCCCGUACACAAAAAUGCACAUAUUGUGAGCUCGAUGAGUAGGGCGGGACACGUGGUAUCCUGUCUGAAUAUGGGGG